rnacentral:rRNA from 1 species
GCGGGCCGUGAGAGCGGGAGCCCGGAGAUGGGCACUGAGACAAGGGCCCAGGCCCUACGGGGCGCAGCAGUCGCGAAAACUCCGCAAUGCGCGAAAGCGUGACGGGGCUACCCCGAGUGCCGUCCGCUGAGGAUGGCUUUUCCCAGGUGUAAUGAGCCGGGGGAAUAAGGAGAGGGCAAGUCUGGUGUCAGCCGCCGCGGUAAUACCAGCUCUCCGAGUGGUAGGGACGAUUAUUGGGCUUAAAGCGUCCGUAGCCGGCUUAGCAAGUCUCCUGUUAAAUUCAGCGACCUAAUCGUUGAGCCGCGGGAGAUACUACUAGGCUAGGAGG